rnacentral:tRNA from 1 species
GGUUGUGGCUCAGCGGUAGAGUGCUUGCCUAGCAUGUGUGAGGCCCUGAGUUCAAUCCUCAGCACCA